rnacentral:rRNA from 1 species
CAAUAGCGUAUAUUAAAGUUGUUGCGGUUAAAAAGCUCGUAGUUGGAUUUCUGUUGAGGACAGUCGGUCUACCUUCUGGGUAUGCAUCUGAUUUGGCCUUGGCAUCCUCUCGUUGUGUGCGUUCGCCUUGAUUGGUGUCGUAUGCUGCGGGACUUUUACUUUGAGGAAAUUAGAGUGUUCACGGCAGGCCUUCGCCCUGAAUAUAUUAGCAUGGAAUAAUAACAUAGGAUCUUGGCCCUAUUUUGUUGGUUUCUAGAGCUAGGAUAAUGAUUAAUAGGGACGGUUGGGAGUGGUGCUAUUGCCGCGUCAGAGGUGGAAUUCUUGGAUUGCGGCACGAGCAACUACUGCGAAAGCAUCUGCUAAAGACGUUUUCAUUGAUCAAGAACGAAAUAAGGGGAUCGAAGACGAUUAGAUACCGU